CCCGGCCACCCACCCAGCAAGCCACCCACGCGCUCGGCGGCGGCAGGGUCAAUUUGAUUACGCCGCUACGAGCUUUCGCAGAGCAGCCUGCGCGCGUGCACAGCAGAUCAUUCAGGCCCUCUGCGCGCGUUUAUCAUUUUCGCUCGCUUUGCAGCAGCACAGCACAGUUUAUUUGUUUUCAACUCA